AUCAAAAACAUGUCCACCCGCUACGUCAGGAAGUUUCGGGGCCACAGCCUUGUGAUAUUCCUCGAUAUCUAUGGGGCCAUCGAAGAGAUCUGGCAUCCGGCCAGAAGACGUACCAGCCAAUAAAUAUCACCUAGUGUACAAUUACGCCUGUGAUCGGAUAGCCCUCGACAAGGCAAGGUGCCGCAUCUGCUUUUUUCCCUCGAAACAGUUUGUAUCGAAAGGAAGCAGCUGAAUACGAUGGUUGCCUUACUUAAUCCCACGGAUACUUUGUUUUGAAGGCUCUCAAGUUAAUUUGAUGACGUAAACUUUUAAUCUAUAUUAUCUUACCGAAAUUAAAAGACUGAAUGUCAUCAGUGAUCAGCAUGAUGUAGAUGAAAUUCCCUGUAAACAGGGACAAGGCUCCCCAGUAAAAGAAAUUAUCGUAGUAGGAGUCUUCCCGCUGGAAAUGGAUUUUUACACAAUUAAAGUGAUGACCACCUUGAAUGCGUAAAGUAAGGAUAUUUACCGAUUUUCUAUCCGGAAGAAUGUACACGACGAUAAGACCCU
rnacentral:rRNA from 1 species